GCCUCCUCCUCCUGCUGCAACACCUUCUUCAUCGUCGUGCCAGAACCACAGUGUGUCUCAGGACGUCCUGGUCUCUGUAGACGGUGCAGACGUAGCGUCCAUCGUCUCUGUGUGUGGGAUUCCUCAGGGUCAGGCUGACGUCUCCGGUCCUCAGGAAGUCUUUGUUCAUCUCUGUUCGGUCGCGGAAGGUGGGAUGAUGUUGUGCAGGGCAGGACGACAGAAUCUGACCCUUCAGUGACCUCGACUUCCUGCUGAUCAACUGAGAGGAAAUAA